GACAGAGGUGCCGAGCGUUAGGCGGAAUUACUGGGCGUAAAGCGCGUGUAGGCGGGUCCUUAAGUCAGGGGUGAAAUGCCAAGGCUCAACCUUGGAACUGCCUUUGAUACUGGGGAUCUUGAGUCCGGGAGAGGUGAGUGGAACUGCGAGUGUAGAGGUGAAAUUCGUAGAUAUUCGCAAGAACACCAGUGGCGAAGGCGGCUCACUGGCCCGGUACUGACGCUGAGAUGCGAAAAGCGUGGGGAGCAAACAGG
rnacentral:rRNA from 1 species